rnacentral:rRNA from 1 species
CCUACGGGAGGCAGCAGUGGGGAAUUUUGGACAAUGGGCGCAAGCCUGAUCCAGCCAUGCCGCGUGCGGGAAGAAGGCCUUCGGGUUGUAAACCGCUUUUGUCAGGGAAGAAAAGGUUCUGGUUAAUACCUGGGACUCAUGACGGUACCUGAAGAAUAAGCACCGGCUAACUACGUGCCAGCAGCCGCGGUAAUACGUAGGGUGCAAGCGUUAAUCGGAAUUACUGGGCGUAAAGCGUGCGCAGGCGGUUAUGCAAGACAGAGGUGAAAUCCCCGGGCUCAACCUGGGAACUGCCUUUGUGACUGCAUAGCUAGAGUACGGUAGAGGGGGAUGGAAUUCCGCGUGUAGCAGUGAAAUGCGUAGAUAUGCGGAGGAACACCGAUGGCGAAGGCAAUCCCCUGGACCUGUACUGACGCUCAUGCACGAAAGCGUGGGGAGCAAACAGGAUUAGAUACCCUGGUAGUCCACGCCCUAAACGAUGUCAACUGGUUGUUGGGAGGGUUUCUUCUCAGUAACGUAGCUAACGCGUGAAGUUGACCGCCUGGGGAGUACGGCCGCGAAGGUUGAAACUUCAAAGGAAUUGACGG